rnacentral:rRNA from 1 species
UUGACAUGUCCGGUAUGGUUUCCAGAGAUGGAUUCCUUCAGUUAGGCUGGCCGGAACACAGGUGCUGCAUGGCUGUCGUCAGCUCGUGUCGUGAGAUGUUGGGUUAAGUCCGCAACGAGCGCAACCCUCGCCCUUAGUUGCCAUCAUUUAGUUGGGCACUCUAGGGGGACUGCCGGUGAUAAGCCGAGAGGAAGGUGGGGAUGACGUCAAGUCCUCAUGGCCCUUACGGGCUGGGCUACACACGUGCUACAAUGGCGGUGACAGUGGGAUGCUAAGGGGCGACCCCUCGCAAAUCUCAAAAAGCCGUCUCAGUUCGGAUUGCGCUCUGCAACUCGAGCGCAUGAAGGUGGAAUCGCUAGUAAUCGUAGAUCAGAACGCUACGGUGAAUACGUUCCCGGGCCUUGUACACACCGCCCGUCACACCAUGGGAGUUGGUUCUACCUGAAGGCGUUUUGCUAACCGCAAGGGGGGCAGACGACCACGGUAGGGUCAGCGACUGGGGUGAAGUCGUAACAAGGUAAGCGUAGUGCU